rnacentral:rRNA from 1 species
AAAAUCCGGGCGGCUUAGAUGAGGCGUGAUAACGAGGCGGCUUGCCGCUGAAGUGAGUGAUACCCUGCUUCCAGGAAAAGCCACUAAGCUCCAGCUACACACGACCGUACCGCAAACCGACACUGGUGCGCGAGAUGAGUAUUCUAAGGCGCUUGAGAGAACUCUGGAGAAGGAACUCGGCAAAUUGACACCGUAACUUCGGAAGAAGGUGUGCCUUUAGUAGGUGAUCCAUUUACUUGGUGAGCCCAAUGAGGCCGCAGAGGAUCGGUGGCUGCGACUGUUUAUUAAAAACACAGCACUCUGCAAAGACGAAAGUCGACGUAUAGGGUGUGACGCCUGCCCGGUGCUGGAAGAUUAAAUGAUGGGGUGCAAGCUCUUGACUGAAGUCCCAGUAAACGGCGGCCGUAACGAUAACGGUCCUAAGGUAGCGAAAUUCCUUGUCGGGUAAGUUCCGACCUGCACGAAUGGCGUAACGAUGGCCACACUGUCUCCUCCAGAGACUCAGCGAAGUUGAAAUGUUUGUGAUGAUCCAAUCUCCCCGCGGAAAGACGGAAAGACCCCAUGAACCUUUACUGUAGCUUUACAUUGGACUUUGAACAGAUCUGUGUAGGAUAGGUGGGAGGCUUUGAAGCGGUGCCGCUAGGUGUCGUGGAGCCAACGUUGAAAUACCACCCUGGUGUGUUUGAGGUUCUAACCUUGGCCCGUUAUCCGGGUUGGGGACAGUGUAUGGUAGGCAGUUUGACUGGGGCGGUCUCCUCCCAAAGCGUAACGGAGGAGUUCGAAGGUACGCUAGGCACGGUCGGAAAUCGUGCUGAUAGUGCAUAGGCAUAAGCGUGCUUGACUGCGAGACUGACAAGUCGAGCAGGUACGAAAGUAGGACUAAGUGAUCCGGUGGUUCUGUAUGGAAGGGCCAUCGCUCAACGGAUAAAAGGUACUCUGGGGAUAACAGGCUGAUACCGCCCAAGAGUUCAUAUCGACGGCGGUGUUUGGCACCUCGAUGUCGGCUCAUCUCAUCCUGGGGCUGUAGCCGGUCCCAAGGGUAUGGCUGUUCGCCAUUUAAAGAGGUACGUGAGCUGGGUUUAAAACGUCGUGAGACAGUUUGGUCCCUAUCUUCCGUGGGCGCUGCAAGAUUGAGAGAGCCUGCUCCUAGUACGAGAGGACCGGAGUGGACGCACCUCUGGUGUAUCGGUUGUCACGCCAGUGGCAUUGCCGAGUAGCUAAGUGCGGAAGAGAUAACCGCUGAAAGCAUCUAAGCGGGAAACUCGUCUCAAGAUGAGUCUUGCCGGGGCCUUGAGCCCCCUGAAGAGUCGUUCGAGACCAGGACGUUGAUAGGCCGGGUGUGGAAGCGCAGUAAUGCGUUAAGCUAAUCGGUACUAAUUGCUCGUGAGGCUUGACCCU